GUAUUUUGCGAUUGAUCCACAGGAAAUAGACGCAGCUGCGUGGAUCGCCUUCUCCACCCCACAUACUGAAGCCAGAAUAAGCCACGACUUCGUGUGCUCCACGCGAGGGCCGCCUGACGCCAGAGUUUCUCCCGCAUCUGCCAUCAGAGGACCGUCGCCCUCAGGAGCCCGAGCUCCCGCGGCUUCUCCGAAAUUGGAGUUCCAGAAGCCAUCCUUGGAUAACAUCUCUAUAAUCUCCUGGGAGAAUCCUUCUUCGAAGAAAUCCUCCAUCAGAGGAGAGUUCUUGGUCUCAGUCACAUCUGAAAGAGCAAGUGCAAAUGUCUCCUGUUCACUAAGGCUCCCAGGACAAGGGGAUGGAAGCCAGCGAGAAGCAGAGUGAAGUCCUGAAGCUGAGCGUUGUAAUGUCUCGGUAGACCUGUGGGAAAGCUGGCUGCAGCCUCAGGAUGGAGGUCUGGAAGACAGAAGCUUCCCCAAGGAAGGGAACAGAGUCACCAUCCAGGAGGGAUACAGGCCACAGCGG
rnacentral:lncRNA from 1 species